rnacentral:rRNA from 1 species
AUUAAUUCGAUGCAACGCGAAGAACCUUACCAAGGCUUGACAUACACCAGAACACCGUAGAAAUACGGGACUCUUUGGACACUGGUGAACAGGUGGUGCAUGGUUGUCGUCAGCUCGUGUCGUGAGAUGUUGGGUUAAGUCCCGCAACGAGCGCAACCCUCGUUCUAUGUUGCCAGCACGUAAUGGUGGGAACUCAUGGGAUACUGCCGGGGUCAACUCGGAGGAAGGUGGGGAUGACGUCAAAUCAUCAUGCCCCUUAUGUCUUGGGCUUCACGCAUGCUACAAUGGCCGGUACAAAGGGCUGCAAUACCGUGAGGUGGAGCGAAUCCCAAAAAGCCGGUCCCAGUUCGGAUUGUAGUCUGCAACUCGACUACAUGAAGUCGGAGUCGCUAGUAAUCGCAGAUCAGCAACGCUGCGGUGAAUACGUUCCCGGGUCUUGUACACACCGCCCGUCAAGUCAUGAAAGUCGGUAACACC